rnacentral:rRNA from 1 species
UACGUAGGGUGCAAGCGUUAAUCGGAAUUACUGGGCGUAAAGCGUGCGCAGGCGGUUAUGUAAGACAGUUGUGAAAUCCCCGGGCUCAACCUGGGAACUGCAUCUGUGACUGCAUAGCUAGAGUACGGUAGAGGGGGGAUGGAAUUCCGCGUGUAGCAGUGAAAUGCGUAGAUAUGCGGAGGAACACCGAUGGCGAAGGCAGGUCUCUGGGGCCCAUAAACUGACGCUCAGGUGCGAAAAGCUAGGGGGAGCGAACAGG